GCCGGGGUGGCCGAGCGGUCCAAGGCGGUGGACUGGAGAUCCACUACCCCAAAAGGGUGCCCGGGUUCAAAUCCCGGCCCCGGCGCCA
rnacentral:tRNA from 3 species